rnacentral:rRNA from 1 species
UGGGGAAUAUUGCGCAAUGGGCGAAAGCCUGACGCAGCGACGCCGCGUGAGGGAUGAAGGUUUUCGGAUCGUAAGCCUCUGUCAGAAGGGAAGAAACCGCACUGUGCUAAUCAGCAGUGCCUUGACGGUACCUUCAAAGGAAGCACCGGCUAACUCCGUGCCAGCAGCCGCGGUAAUACGGAGGGUGCAAGCGUUAAUCGGAAUUACUGGGCGUAAAGCGCACGUAGGCUGCUUUGUAAGUCAGGGGUGAAAUCCCACGGCUCAACCGUGGAACUGCCUUUGAUACUGCUUAGCUUGAAUCCGGGAGAGGGUGGCGGAAUUCCAGGUGUAGGAGUGAAAUCCGUAGAUAUCUGGAGGAACAUCAGUGGCGAAGGCGGCCACCUGGACCGGUAUUGACGCUGAGGUGCGAAAGCGUGGGGAGCAAACAGG